GACGGAGGGUGCUAGCGUUGUUCGGAAUUACUGGGCGUAAAGGGCGCGUAGGCGGCCAACUAAGUCAGACGUGAAAUCCCUCGGCUUAACCGGGGAAUGGCGUCUGAUACUGGAUGGCUUGAGUUCGGGAGAGGGAUGCGGAAUUCCAGGUGUAGCGGUGAAAUGCGUAGAUAUCUGGAGGAACACCGGUGGCGAAGGCGGCAUCCUGGACCGAGACUGACGCUGAGGAGCGAAAGCCAGGGGAGCAAACGGG
rnacentral:rRNA from 1 species